rnacentral:rRNA from 1 species
UACAGAGGUCCCAAGCGUUGUUCGGAUUCACUGGGCGUAAAGGGUGCGUAGGUGGUGAGGUAAGUUCGAUGUGAAAGCCCCGGGCUUAACCCGGGAAUGGCAUUGGAUACUACUGGUCUGGAGGAUUGGAGGGGGGACUGGAAUUCUUGGUGUAGCAGUGAAAUGCGUAGAUAUCAAGAGGAACACCAGUGGCGAAGGCGAGUCCCUGGACAAUUCCUGACACUGAGGCACGAAAGCCAAGGGAGCAAACAGG